GAUGAACGCUAGCGACAGGCCUAACACAUGCAAGUCGAGGGGCAGCAUAAAGGUAGCAAUACUUUGGUGGCGACCGGCGCACGGGUGAGUAACACGUAUGCAACCUACCUGUAAGAGGGGAAUAACCCGGAGAAAUUCGGACUAAUACCGCAUAAUACCACGAAGCUGCAUGGCUUUGUGUUUAAACAUUUAUGGCUUACAGAUGGGCAUGCGUAUGAUUAGAUAGUUGGUAGGGUAACGGCCUACCAAGUCAACGAUCAUUAGGGGUUCUGAGAGGAAGGUCCCCCACACUGGUACUGAGACACGGACCAGACUCCUACGGGAGGCAGCAGUGAGGAAUAUUGGUCAAUGGGCGAGAGCCUGAACCAGCCAAGUCGCGUGAAGGAAGAAGGUUCUAUGGAUUGUAAACUUCUUUUGUAAGGGAAUAAAAAGAGUUACGUGUAACUUAUUGUAUGUACUUUACGAAUAAGGAUCGGCUAACUCCGUGCCAGCCGCCGCGGUAACAC
rnacentral:rRNA from 1 species